AUGGCAGGGUUAGAUUUAAACAACCAGAUCAACUGGCAAGAUGUCCAAGAAGACUACGGCGGUCUUGCCGGAGAGCUAGACUACGAUCUGGAGCUGAUCGUCUCGGAUGAAGAGGACGAACCUCACGAGCAUGUGCAUGCUGAAGCUGAGCCUGGCCGUGGACGCGGAGGCGCCGGCCGUGGACGCAUAGGCGCCGGCCGUGGACGCGGUCAUGGCCGUGGACGCGGAGGCGCCGGCCGUGGAGACGCCGGCCGUGGACGCGGAGGCGCCGGCCGUGGAGACACCGGCCGUGGACGCACAGGCGCCGGCCGUGGACGCGGAGACGCCGGCCAUGGACGCGGUCAUGGCCGGCGCGGACGAACAAGGUUGGGACUCACUGGAAGAUCACCAACCGUUAGGUGGCAGGCUAGCCAACCUCCGGUCGGUGACGCCGGCCUCGGCCAACCUUCCGUUCAUGUCGAUACUGGCAUUGACUUGAACGUGGAAUCCGGCAGUGGCGGCGGCGACGAUGACGAACAUGGCAUGCUUGGCAUUGACUUGAAUGUUGAACUUCAUGCAGUCGACGCCGGAGUUGAUGCUGAAAAUGUUGAAGGAAACGGCGAGGAACAUCCAGCUCCAGCUGGUAUGCAUGCUUGUACUGGUUCAUGCAUACAUGUGUGCUAUGCAUUGUGGAUCAUGCAUGCUUGCACUGAUCUCAUACAUGCGUACUGCUUCAUGAAUUCUGGAUCAUGCAUGCUUGUACUGGUUCAUGCAUACAUGUGUGCUGGUUCAUGGAUACUGGUUCAUGCAUGCUUCUAG
rnacentral:rRNA from 1 species